GCAACAGCCUGGAUAGCUCAGUUGGUUAGACUAGAGUGUGGUGCUGAUAACGCCAAGGUUGCAGGUUCAAUUCCUGUAUGUUGCA